rnacentral:rRNA from 1 species
GUCUUGAAUAUAUAAUUUUAAGUCUAAUCUGCUCACUGAUUUUAUUUAAGGGCCGCAGUAUACUGACUGUGCAAAGGUAGCAUAAUCAAUAGUUUUUUAAUUGGAAACUGGAAUGAAUGAUUGGACGAUAAAUUGACUUUCUUAAUUUUAAUAGUUGAAUUUAAAUUUUAAGUUAAAAUACUUAAAUAAUAUUAAAAGACGAGAAGACCCUAUAGAUUUUUAUUAAUUUAAAAGAUUUUUAUCUUAAAUAAUUAAUUUAAUUGGGGUGAUUUUGUAAUAUAAAAAAUUUAAUUGUAAUAAACCAUAGAUAAAUGAAUUUUUUGAUCUAAAAUUUUUAAAUUAUAGAUUAAAUUACCUUAGGGAUAACAGCGUUAUAUUAUUUAAGAGUUCAUAUCUAUAAUAAUAAUUGCGACCUCGAUGUUGAAUUAAGAAAUAUUAUUAAGGAGAAGAAGCUUUAAUAAUUAGUCUGUUCGACUAUUAAAUUCU